AUUGAACGCUGGCGGCAGGCCUAACACAUGCAAGUCGAACGAGUGGCGGACGGGUGAGUAAUGUCUGGGAAACUGCCCGAUGGAGGGGGAUAACUACUGGAAACGGUAGCUAAUACCGCGUACCAUCGGCCGUCCCCAGAUGGGAUUAGGUCGUAGGUGGGGGAAAGGCUCACCUAGGCGACGAUCCCUAGCUGGUCUGAGAGGAUGACCGGCCACACUGGGACUGUGACACGGUCCAGACUCCUACGGGAGGCAGCAGUGGGGAAUAUUGCACAAUGGGCGCAAGCCUGAUGCAGCCAUGCCGCGUGUAUGAAGAAGGCCUUCGGGUUGUAAAGUACUUUCAGCAGGGAGGCGUUACCCGCAGAAGAAGCACCGGCUAACUCCGUGCCAGCAGCCGCGGUAAUUC
rnacentral:rRNA from 1 species